UAGAAGGAAUGCUUCAUUUUUGCUCCCAAGU
rnacentral:piRNA from 1 species